rnacentral:lncRNA from 1 species
GGAUCCAUGAGGUUGUGGGUUCGAUCCCUGGCCUCGCUCAGUGGGUUAAAGAUCUGUCAUUGCUGUGACCUGUGGUGUAGGUCACAGUUGCGGCUCGGAUCUGGUGUUGCUGUGGCUCUGGCAUAGUCCAGCAGCUGCAGCUCCAAUUUGACCCCUAGCCUGGGAGCCUCCAUAUGCUGCAGUUUCAGCCCUAAAAUAAGCAAAAAAUAAAUACAAAUAAAAAAUAAGUCCAUUGAAACCAUAAGACUUUGGGGACUAAAGAUUUUUAGAAAUCUAAGUACUUGGUUUUACAAAAGUGAUUCUCAAACUUUUUCUGGGUCAUGAAUCAAGCUGAUAAUCUGAUGAAAACCACAGACCCUUCAAAUAAAUGCUCUGCAUUAGGUAGCUACUGUGUAACAAAUUACCUCGAAUUUAGUAGCUUAAGAUCACAAAAUUAGUUUUCUCACAGUCUCUGGGGAUCAGGAAUUCAGGAGCAGCUUGGCUGGGUGGUUCUGACUCAGGGUCUCCCAGCAUGCAGUAACGAUGCCGUCCAGGGCUGCAGUCAGCUGAAGGCUUUGCUGGGCUGGAGGAUUUCUUCCAAGGUGGCCCAUUCACACAGAUAUUGGCAGGAAGCCUUAGUCCUCAUGACACAGCAACUGGCUUCCCCCAGAGUCAAUAUCCAAGAGAGAAAGAAGGAGAAAGCGGUGAUGCCUUUUGUAACCUAUUUUCAGAAGUAACACAGCAUCACUCACUUUCUAUUUCUACAUAUCACUUCAUGUUCUAUUUGUCGUAAGUGAGCCACUGAGUCCCCACCCACACUUGGGGGGAGGACAAUUAAGGUGCACAUCUCGAAGGAAGGGCUAUCAAAGAAUUGGUGGACAGAUUUUGAAACCACCUCAUACACUUCAUUCUGCAUCAGCAUUCAGAGAAUUUACAGAUUUUUUUUUUUUUUUUUUUUUGUCUUUUUAGGGCCACACCCACAGCGUAUGGAGGUUCCCAGGCUAGGGGUAGAAUCGGAGCUACUGCUGCCGGCCUACACCACAGCCAUAGCAACGUGGGAUCUGAGCCGCAUCUGCUACCUAUGCCGCAGCUUAUGGUAACACCAGCUCUUUAUUUAUUUAUUUAUUUUUUUAUCCCUUGAAGGAAUACCAGCUCUUUAACCCACGGAGUGAGGCCGGGAUCGAACUCACAUCCUCAAGGAUACUCGUCGGGUUUUUUACCACUGAGCCACAACGGGAGCUCCACAAACAAACUUAAUAUCCACAUGGCUUAACACAGUCAACGUUUCUCACUCACAUCACAGAUCCAUGCAAAUUAGGUGGCUCUCUUAGGGAUCUAGGAUCCCUCUUUUGCAUGCCCCUGCCAACCUGGAGUCCUUUCCUUCAUGUGGGUAAAAAGAGUGACCUAUGGAUCUCACCUGAAAAUUUUGGACCAGGCUCCCAAGUGGCAGUGUUAUUUCUGCCCACAUAACAUCAUCCAAAACUAGUUCUCCACACUAACCUAACAGCCGGAAGAGGCCGGGAAUUGUAGUUAAUCUGUGACCGGAAGAGGAGCCAGGAUUGGUCAGUGUGCAGCCAAUCCUCUGUUCCCUCAUAUGUCACUGGCCAGAGUAUUGGGUCAAAUGUCUCUUUCUACUAAUACCACGGGUAAGGGGAAUGGAAUUACCACGAGUGGCAUCUAUUAAUUAUAUCUGUGUGAUUAUAGAUUCCCCUCCUAUUUUUCAGUCAUAACACAUUGCCAACAGACUGAAUACAAAAGCAGCAUUGCUGGAGCCAUGUUUCAGCCCCAAGAGUGAGCCAUUCCCUCUCAUUGGAUGUUUUUUUAAUGAGAUAAAAAUUUAUUAUGGUUUAAAAAAAAAAAAAAAAAAAAGUGGAGUUCCCGUCUCGGCUCAGUGGUUAACGAAUCCCACUAGGAACCAUGAGGUUUCGGGUUUGAUCCCUGGCCUUAUAAGGAUCCAGCAUUGCUGUGAGCUGUGGUGUAGGUUGCAGACGCAGCUUGGAUCCCGUUUUGCUGUGGCUCUGGCAUAGGCCGGCAGCUACAGCUCUGAUUAGACCCCUAGCCUGGGAACCUCCAUAUGCCAUGGGAGCAGCCCUAGAAAAGAUUAAAAAAAAAAAAAAUUAUUAUGUUUUAAACCUGCCAAUUCACAUUUUCCGUUAUUUGUAAAGCAUGAAAGUAGAAACUAAAAUGAUCAUCUUAGGUGCCGAAAAAGCAUUUGACAUGGAUCUACCAUUUGCAGCAAACUAGGGAUAGAAGAGAAUGUUUUCAACCUUUUAAAGAACAUCUGCAGGGAGUUCCUGUGGGGGCUCAGUGGGUUAAUUACCUGUCGCAGUGUCUGGGAGGAUUCGGGUUCCAUCCCUGGCCUCGCUCAGUGAGUUAAGGGUCUGUCAUUGCUGCAAGCUGCAGUGUAGGUCACAGAGGCAGCUCAGAUCUGGUGUUGUGUUAGCUGUGGGGUAGGCCCCAGCUGCAGCUCUGAUUUGACUCCCGACCCAGGCACUUCCAUAUACCAUAGGCGCAGCUGUUAAAAAAAAAAAAAAAAGGAAAAAAAAAAAAAAGAAAUCUAUAAAAAAAUCUACAGCUGACAUCAUAUUUAAUGGUAAAAGACUGAAUUAUUUCUGCCUAAGAUGUUGGAGAUCCUAACCACUGUAAUAAGGUAAAUAAAUAUAAAAGACAUGUAUUGGGAGUUCCUGUCGUGGCGCAGCAGAAAUGAGUCCGACUAGGAACCAUGAGGUUGUGGGUUCAAUCCCUGGCCUUGCUCGGUGGUUUGGGGAUCCGGUAUUGCUGUGAGCUAUGGUAUUGGUCGAAGAUGCGGCUCAGAUCCCGAGUUGCUGUGGCUGUGGCGUAGGCUGGCAGCUAUAGCUCCGAUUUGACCCCUAGUCUGGGAACUUCCAUAUGCCAUAGGUGCAGCCCUAAAAAAGACAAAAGAAAAAAAAAAAAAAAAAAAAAGAAAUAUAUAUUGGGAAUAAAGAGGUGAAACUGUUUUUAUUUGCUUUUGACAUGAUUUUGUAUGUAGAAAAUCUUAGGGAACAUACUCCAAACUAUUAAAACUAGUAAGUGAAUGUAGUGGGGUUAUAGCAUAUAGGAUUAAUGCACACAAGUCAGUUGUAUUUCUGUACACGAGCAAUACCUCCAAAAAAUAAAUUCAUAUAACAAUUCUAUGUAUAAUAUCCAAAAUCAUAUUUGGGAAUAAAUUUAUAGAAGAUAUGUAACACUGUACAUUGAAAGUUACAAAACAUUGUUGAGAGAAGUUAAAGAAAAGCUAAAUGGAGUUCCCUUCAUGGCUCAGUGGUUAACUAAUCUGACUAGGAACCAUGAGGUUGCAGGUUCAAUCCCUGGCCUUGCUCAUGGGUUAAGGAUCCGGCGUUGCCGUGAGCUGUGGUGCAGAUCUCAGACGUGGCUCAGGUCCUGCGUUGCUGUGGCUGUGGUGUAGGUCGGCGGCUACAGCUCCGAUUCGACCCCUAGCCUGGGAACCUCCAUGCUGUGGGUUCGGCCAUAGAAAAGGCAAAAUAAAUAAAUAAAUAAAACUUAUUAUAAAGCUAUGUUAAUUGAGGAAAGACAUAGAAAUCAAUGAAACAAAAUUGAGAGUUCAGAAAUAGACCCAUAAUUUUAUGUUGAUUGCUUUUCGACUAAGGUACCAAACUACUUCAAUAGAGAAAUAAUAAAUGGUGCUAGAGGAGUUCCCUGGUGGUUCAGUAGGUUAAGGAUCUGGUGUUGUCACUACUGGGGUUUAGGCUGAUGCUGUGGCAUUGAUUGGAUCCCUGGCUCAGGAACUUCCACGUGCUGAGGGCAUGGAGGAAAAAAACAACAAAAAAUUAAAGUUUAUUACAACUUGUCUCUUGAAUUCAUGUCUUUUUCCAUAUAGGUAUCUGUUCUUUUUUUUUUUCCUUUUUUCUCUUUAUGGCCACACCUGUGGCAUAUGGACAUUCCCAGGCUAGAUGUCGAAUCGGAGCUAUAACUGUCAGCCUAUGCCAGAGCCACAGCAACACAAGACCCAAACCACCUCUGCGACCUACACCACAGCUCACAACAAUGCCAGAUCCUUAACCCACUGAGUGAAGCCAGGGAUGGAACCCACAAUCUCAUGGUUCCUAGUCUGAUUCGUUUCCACUGCACCACAACGGGAACCCCUGGUAUCAGUUAUUCUAACACUAUUUAUUUAUUUAUUUAUUGGCCAUACUUGUGGCUUGUGGAUGUUCCCAGGCUAGGGAUCAAACCCGUGCACAACAGUGACAAUGCCAGAUCCUUAACCCACUGAGCCACCAGGGAACUCCCAGCCACCAGCGGUUUUACUCACCACUGCUUUGCCAAUGUGUCAACACAGUCAUAACAAAGGCAAGAGCAACAUUUUAACAUUGCUGUCAAAAGAGCUUUGACCUUGUGGGCCCCGGGAAAGGAUCUGUGGAAUACACUUUGAGAACUGCUCGUCUAGUAGAAAGAGGUAAAAAGAGAAAAGAAGGCAGCCUGAGCCCAAGCCUUGAAAUCUAGUAUUUAAUGGCCCGGUUAGGGGAGGAACCUAAGAGGCUGCACAGGAGUAACCUGAGACGAGAAAAGCCGGCAGAGUGCAAAGUCAGGGAGGCCAAGCGAAUGCUUUCAGGAGGGAGGGGCCAAGAGCCUGGAAUGUGGUUCUGGUCCAGGUCCAGGAAGACGAGAGAGGAGAAACAGCCCCUGGGUUAAGUGACCCGGAUCUCACCAGUGACCUUAGCAAGAGCUAUUUCCACGGAGCGAUCAGUGCAGCAGUCAGACUAGGGGGAGCUGGGGAAUGAUGAGCACACGGGAGGCAAUGAAACUGGUGCAGGUGCCCGUCUACAGAGAGCUCUGCGAAGGGGAAAAAUAAGCUAAGGCAGCUGCUGAAGGAAGGAGUCAUACUCGUUCAUGUACUAUGAGUGAAUGAAUGAAUGAAUGGAUGGAUGAGGGAUGCAUUGGAUACAGAGGCUAGAGCAAAAGAAAAGCCCGGGAGGAUCCUGGUGUCCAGCUUAUGGAACUACUUGAAGAGUUAGUGGUCUUUUUGUCGAGAUGGUGAGCAAGACCCAAUGUGAGGUGGAAUAUCCCUGGAGUUUGAGUAGAGGAAGUGUUUUCUUAGGAAAUCCUAAUUUCCCUUUUCAAGAAGUCAUUUUUUUUUCCUCCCCAAGCCUCAAAACCUGCUUACUGCUUCCAUUGGUAAUAAAUAUUGAGAGUUUCAAAGUGGUAAUGAAACUUUCUUGGAGUGGAAAGUUCACCUUCGUUUUACCUUCUAACCAAAAAAUGUCAUGUCUUCAUAUAGUGGAAGGUUCUCAAAUUUUGUUCCAUUAGAAAAAUUUAUGCCUUUAAUUGAAACUAUUUUGGGUCUCUUCAUUGAACAUUUUCUUAUUUUAAUGAACAGAAUUAACUGGAGGAGUUCCCGUCGUGGCUUAGUGGUUAACGAAUCCGACUAGGAACCGUGAGGUUGCGGGUUUGGUCCCUGGCCUUGCUCAGUGGGUUAAGGAUCCAGCGUUGCCGUGAGCUGUGGUGUAGGUUGCUGUGGUUGUGGCCUAGGCUGAUGGCUACAGCUCUGAUUGGACCCCUAGCCUGGGAACCUCCAUAUGCUGCGGGAGCAGCCCAAGAAAAGGCAAAAAAAAAAAAAAAA